CGUGUAGGCGGUACGGUAAGUCGGAUGUUAAAGACCCACGGCUCACCCGGGGGACGGUGCGUUCGAUACUGCCGUGCUAGAGUGCAGGAGAGGAAAGUGGAAUUCCUGGUGUAGCGGUGAAAUGCGUAGAUAUCAGGAGGAACACCGGUGGCGAAGGCGGCUUUCUGGCCUGUAACUGACGCUGAGACGCGAAAGCAUGGGGAGCGAACGG
rnacentral:rRNA from 1 species